GAGUUUGAUCAUGGCUCAGAUUGAACGCUGGCGGUAUGCUUAACACAUGCAAGUCGAACGGUAACAUUUCCAGCUUCCUGGAAGAUGACGAGUGGCGGACGGGUGAGUAACGUAUCGGAACGUACCUAGUAAUGGGGAACAACCAGCCGAAAGGUUGGCUAAUACCGCAUACGACCUACGGGUGAAAGCAGGGGAUCUUCGGACCUUGCGUUAUUAGAGCGGCCGAUAUCUGAUUAGGUAGUUGGUGGGGUAAAGGCCUACCAAGCCGACGAUCAGUAGCUGGUCUGAGAGGACGAUCAGCCACACUGGAACUGAGACACGGUCCAGACUCCUACGGGAGGCAGCAGUGGGGAAUAUUGGACAAUGGGCGCAAGCCUGAUCCAGCCAUGCCGCGUGUGUGAAGAAGGCCUUAGGGUUGUAAAGCACUUUCAGCGAGGAGGAAAAGUGUACAGUUAAUACCUGUAUGCCGUGACGUUACCUACAGAAGAAGCACCGGCUAACUCCGUGCCAGCAGCCGCGGUAAUACUGAUGGUCCGAGCGUUAAUCGGAAUUACUGGGCGUAAAGCGCGCGUAGGUGGUUUGUUAAGUGGGAUGUGAAAGCCCUGGGCUCAACCUGGGAACUGCAUUCCAAACUGGCGAACUUGAGUACAAGAGAGGAUAGUGGAAUUUCCGGUGUAUCGGUGAAAUGCGUAGAGAUCGGAAGGAACAUCAGUGGCGAAGGCGGCCCCCUGGAUUGAUACUGACACUGAGGUGCGAAAGCGUGGGUAGCAAACAGGAUUAGAUACCCUGGUAGUCCACGCCGUAAACGAUGUCUACUAGCCGUUGGAGGGCUUGUCCCUUUAGUGGCGCAGCUAACGCGAUAAGUUGACCGCCUGGGGAGUACGGCCGCAAGGUUAAAACUCAAAUGAAUUGACGGGGGCCCGCACAAGCGGUGGAGCAUGUGGUUUAAUUCGAUGCAACGCGAAGAACCUUACCAGGUCUUGACAUCCCGAGAAUUUACUAGAGAUAGUUUAGUGCCUUCGGGAACUCGGUGACAGGUGCUGUAUGGCUGUCGUCAGCUCGUGUUGUGAGAUGUUGGGUUAAGUCACGACACGAGCGCAACCCUUGUCCUUAGUUGCCAGCACGUAAUGGUGGGAACUCUAAGGAGACUGCCGGUGACAAACCGGAGGAAGGUGGGGACGACGUCAAGUCAUCAUGGCCCUUACGACCUGGGCUACACACGUGCUACAAUGGUCGGUACAGAGGGUUGCCAAGCCGCGAGGUGGAGCUAAUCCCAGAAAACCGAUCGUAGUCCGGAUUGGAGUCUGCAACUCGACUCCAUGAAGUCGUAAUCGCUAGUAAUCGCGAAUCAGAAUGUCGCGGUGAAUACGUUCCCGGGCCUUGUACACACCGCCCGUCACACCAUGGGAGUGGGUUGCAAAAGAAGUGGGUAGGAAAACCUUCGGGAGGCCGCUCACCACUUUGUGAUUCAUGACUGGGGUGAAGUCGGGUAACAAGGUAACC
rnacentral:rRNA from 1 species